rnacentral:rRNA from 1 species
UGAGGCUCGAAAGCGUGGGGAGCAAACAGGAUUAGAUACCCUGGUAGUCCACGCCGUAAACGAUGAUUACUAGGUGUGGGGGGACUGACCCCUUCCGUGCCGGAGUUAACACAAUAAGUAAUCCACCUGGGGAGUACGACCGCAAGGUUGAAACUCAAAGGAAUUGACGGGGGCCCGCACAAGCAGUGGAGUAUGUGGUUUAAUUCGACGCAACGCGAAGAACCUUACCAGGUCUUGACAUCGAGUGACCGCCUAAGAGAUUAGGCUUUCCUUUCGGGGACACAAAGACAGGUGGUGCAUGGUUGUCGUCAGCUCGUGUCGUGAGAUGUUGGGUUAAGUCCCGCAACGAGCGCAACCCUUAUCAUUAGUUGCUACGCAAGAGCACUCUAAUGAGACUGCCGUUGACAAAACGGAGGAAGGUGGGGAUGACGUCAAAUCAUCAUGCCCUUUAUGACCUGGGCUACACACGUACUACAAUGGCGUUUAACAAAGAGAAGCAAAGCCGCGAGGCAGAGCAAAUCUCCAAAAAACGUCUCAGUUCGGAUUGUAGGCUGCAACUCGCCUACAUGAAGUCGGAAUUGCUAGUAAUCGUAGGUCAGCAUACUACGGUGAAUACGUUCCCGGGCCUUGUACACACCGCCCGUCAAACCAUGAGAGUUGGCAACACCCGAAGUCGGUAGUCUAACCGCAAGGAGGACGCCGCCGAAGGUGGGGUUGAUGAUUAGGGUUAAGUCGUAACAAGGUAGCCGUAUCGGACAGAUCGGAAG